rnacentral:rRNA from 1 species
UACAGAGGAGCCAAGCGUUGUCCGGAUGGACUGGGCGUAAAGCGCACGCAGGCGGGGGUGCGCGUGGGGUGUGAAAUCUGGCCGCUUAACGGCCAGGCGCCAUCCCAUACGGCACGCCUGGAGCCUUGCAGAGGUCGGUGGAAUUGCCGGUGUAGUGGUGAAAUGCGUAGAGAUCGGCAGGCACACCCAGGGGGAAACCAGCCGACUGGGCAAGUGCUGACGCUGAGGUGCGAGAGCGUGGGGAGCGAACCGG